UUGACCUCAAAUCAGGUAGGACUACCCGCUGAACUUAAGCAUAUCAAUAAGCGGAGGAAAAGAAACUAACAAGGAUUCCCCUAGUAACUGCGAGUGAAGCGGGAAAAGCUCAAAUUUAAAAUCUGGCGGUUCUUGCAGCCGUCCGAGUUGUAAUUUAGAGAAGUGCUAUCCGCGUUGGACCGUAUACAAGUCUCCUGGAAUGGAGCGUCAUAGAGGGUGAGAAUCCCGUCUUUGAUACGGACUGCCAAGGCUUUGUGAUGCGCUCUCGAAGAGUCGAGUUGUUUGGGAAUGCAGCUCAAAAUGGGUGGUAAAUUCCAUCUAAAGCUAAAUAUUGGCGAGAGACCGAUAGCGAACAAGUACCGUGAGGGAAAGAUGAAAAGAACUUUGGAAAGAGAGUUAAACAGUACGUGAAAUUGUUAAAAGGGAAACGCUUGAAGUCAGUCGCGUUGGCUGGGGAUCAACCUUGCUCUUUUGCUUGGUGUACUUCCUAGUCGAUGGGUCAACAUCAGUUUUGAUUGCUGGAUAAAGUUCAGGGGAAUGUGGCAUCUUUAGAUGUGUUAUAGCCCUUGUUCGUAUGCAGUGGUUGGGAUUGAGGAACUCAGCACGCCGCAAGGCCGGGUUUUUAACCACGUACGUGCUUAGG
rnacentral:rRNA from 1 species